rnacentral:lncRNA from 1 species
CUGAGAUGAAUUUUUUAUUUUAGGCUUAAUUCCUACCUUGGUCCUUAUGUUUGUGUGAAAAUCUCAGUUCGGUCCUUAAGUUUUUCCUCAAGUCCUUAUGAAAUGCAAACAUUUUAUAACAUUUUAUCCCAACCAUUAAGUGUAUUGAGAUGACAUUAACUUUGAAUUGAGCUGUAAUUUUUUUUUAUGUAUUAAAAUCAUUAAAUCCACGUGGCUAUGGUCUUUCUUUUUCCUUCCAAUCACUUAUCACAUUUUUUCCUCAAGUCCUUAUGAAAUGCAAACAUUUUACAACAUUUUACCCCAACCGUUAAGUGUAUUGAGACGACGUUAACUUUGAACUGAGUUGUAAUUUUCUUUUAUGUUUUAAAAUCAUUAAAUCCACGUGGCUAUGGUCUUUCUUUUUCCUUCCAAUCACUGAUCACAUUUCACUCAUUCCUCCACCCUCAAACCCUCAAACCCCCCGACUCACACCUUUUCUCCCUCUCAAACUAAAAAAUGUCGCCAUUGUCGACAGUUCAAAAAUUAUGACCCAAUUGAGACAGUUCAAAACUUGAGGACUGAACUGAGAUUUUCACACAAACAUAAGGACCAAGAGAGG